GCCCAGCAUGGUUCUUACAUGGUGUAGCACUCUGGACUUGGAAUCCAGCGACCUGGGUUCAAAUCCCGGUGGGCA